rnacentral:rRNA from 1 species
CUCGUAGGCGGUUUGUCGCGUCGGGAGUGAAAACCUUGGGCUUAACUCAGGGCUUGCUUUCGAUACGGGCAGACUAGAGGUAUGCAGGGGAGAACGGAAUUCCUGGUGUAGCGGUGAAAUGCGCAGAUAUCAGGAGGAACACCGGUGGCGAAGGCGGUUCUCUGGGCAUGAUCUGACGCUGAGGAGCGAAAGUGUGGGGAGCGAACA